GUUCGGUGGCCUGCCUUGCAAGCGCAAGGACCGAAGUUCAAUCCCCGGUACAAAAAAAAAAAAAAAAAAAAAAAAAAAAAAAAAAAAAAAAAAAAAAAAAAAAAAAAAAGGCGGCGCCCCCCCCCAAGGCCCAGCCCUAGCGCGGCUGUGGGCCGAGUGAGGAGGUGGGCGCAGGGCCGAGGAAGGAUAUAUCUUAGUGGAGAUGGCACUGCCUGGGGCUGGGGCCGGGUCACGUCCGGUUUGCUGUGUUUCAGGACUGACCCAGGGGAAAUCAAAUCUAGGCUUUGGGACUUCUGAGCCCUCGUGCACAGAGAGGUUGCCGGUGAACUUUAAAACCAUCUCUGCUGUGCUUUUAAAAGCCUGAAGCUUUCUCUUCCGGAUUUCUUUUCUCCUAAAUAGGACAGAUCCGCAAGGAUGGGAUGAAGAGGAAAACACCAAAAAUAGCUCUCCCCGAUUAGCGGCAGCCACGCACAUCUGGGGCCCGGAAAUAGUUUCAGAGGGUGCAGAGCAUCGCUGCGGUGCAGGACUUCAGGCAGCACCCCCGGGUUCUACCCAUCCACGUCUGCGAUAUUUAAUAAUGACCUUCACUGGGGCCACGGAGCGUCGUCCUCCUGUUCUCUUGUGGGGACCGCACAUCCUGUUCAUGAGUGAGUCCCGUGAAACGCUGAGGCACCCACGUCAAGUAGUUCUGUAGCCUGUGGCAGACCAUCCGACAUCCAAUCUUCCCCUAGGCCAGGGCACAGCCAGGGCAAGCUGUCAAAAGCACAAUGUCAAAGAGUAGA
rnacentral:lncRNA from 1 species